GGGUCAGUAGGUUGGUCGUGCCACCGGUACGUACUGGUCUCACUGACUCCUCCCUCCUGAAGAACCGUAAUGCCAUUAAUUUGGUGUUGCGGGGAAACAGGACUGCUACUUUGAAAAAAUUAGAGUGUUUAAAGCAAGCUAACGCUUGAAUACAUUAGCAUGGAAUAAUGAAAUAGGGCGAUCGAUCCUAUUUUGUUGGUUUCUAGGAUUGACGUA
rnacentral:rRNA from 1 species